CCCAUAAUUGUCAGAUGCUUCGUGCACUGGGCCACCCAUUUUUCAUAGUUGGUACAGUAUCUUGUCAUGGGAAUUUCCAUGAACAUUUGGGGAUUGGGACUUUUUAAGCUCUCAUUAUGGUAUUGUAGGUUCAAUAAACACUAUUAAAAAUUACCAAACUGCCAUUAAUUCAUAGGAAUCAUGGAAAUCAAUGUUUUAUCAUUAAUUCAUAGAAAUAAAUGAAAGAAAAACUCACAUUUAAUAUUGAUUUAACCCUGAAGUGUAAGGACAUGACCUAAGAAACCAUAUAAUAUUCCUCAUAGCAUGUUGCAUAAAGGCUUCAUUUGAGAAGAUACUAAGUUACAAAACUGACUGUUAAUGGCAUAUAAAAUAGUUUUAACGGUGCUGGACAAGCUGAAUUUCUAAAAUCAGGUUCAUGUUGCUGUUAUUCAGUGGAGUCUGUAAUGCUCGGAAGACACUUUGUUGACAUCAAUAACUAUGCUUACCAUAUCCAAGUCUAAGGUGUGAGAACUGGAAAGAGCAUAUGGAAUGCUUGAUUUUAAACUAAGGGAUACAAGAUGCACUAUGGGAGGAGUGUUCAAAUGGAAUUCAUAUGUCAAUCUCAAUUUGGGUCAAGGAGUUUGAAAAUUGCAUACCCAUGAGCCUACGUAUUUACCAGCAAGUAGAACUAAAAACAAAGUUGUGGCAUAUGCAUAAUCUUAUCAUAGCAUCUGAAAUCUUGUUGAGUUGAUGUUUGAAUUCCAGGUGGAACUGAGAAAUCAUACUAUUUUUUUUUUAUUACUAAUUGAAUAGGAUUACAUUAAUUGAUAUUGACCAUGGUAUGAUGAAAUAAUUAUCUUUACUGGUACUAUCAUACAGACACUAAUAUUUUCUGCCCCUCUCUCCCUUCUUUCUUUUCCACUGGGUCCUCUUUAUUUCUUAUUGCUUUCGCUUUAUGGUGAGUUAUUUGAUAUAGCAUGAAAUCUGAAUACUCGUA
rnacentral:misc_RNA from 1 species